rnacentral:rRNA from 1 species
AAGAUGGCGACCGGCGCACGGGUGAGUAACACGUAUCCAACCUGCCGAUAACUCUGGAAUAGCCUUUCGAAAGAAAGAUUAAUACCGGAUAGUAUACGAAUAUCGCAUGAUAUUUUUAUUAAAGAAUUUCGGUUAUCGAUGGGGAUGCAUUCCAUUAGUUUGUUGGCGGGGUAACGGCCCACCAAGACUACGAUGGAUAGGGGUUCUGAGAGGAAGGUCCCCCACAUUGGGACUGAGACACGGUCCAAACUCCUACGGGAGGCAGCAUG